CUACGGCCUAUGAGAGACCGCAGACCCCUAGCGAGGUCGGGAAACCGCAGGAACGCCAAUUCCUGUAUCUAGAGUCGAUCCGCAGCCUCGGGAGGCCCCGAAACGACUCCAGACCCCUACGGGAUGAUGGCAACGAUUGACUGCAUCUAACGUAGUAUUUUUUCUUUUUGGGGUUAUCGUAGAAUAUCCAUUUCUUAUCCCCCGUCACAACCCGAUGUAAAAAACUCUUUCUAUGUUGCCUUUGAAUCAGCUGCUCGCAAGUGAAAAAUCGCCUUUUAAUGUUUCUCUUCAUGUUUCAAUUCAUGAGGCACCCAAUUGCUUUGGUUGAGAAUCAUUCUCAUGGGUUUUAAUCGUACGGAAACUGUUGCUUGCAGAAUCAUGACAUCUUCAUUGAGUAAUGCCUCCAAUUCUUUGUCUUCGAAUUUUUUUCUUUUCUUUUUUCUGUUUAGAGCGAAGCUUGUCUUCAAUGGUGAAAUCACCAUUCUUGAAACGUCGAAACCAUUCCCUACAUGAUUUAUCAGUUGGAGCAUUAUCACCAUAAACUUCUACCAGCAUUUGAUGCGCUUCAGCUGCGCUUUUCUUCCAAUUAAAACAGAAAACUAUAACCUCCCGCAAAUGCUGCUUAGUUACUACAAAAGUUGACAUAUUCAACACAAUAAAAAACAGGGGUUUUGUAUGAACUUAAAGCGAUUUGUACUGAAUAUUAUUGACAGAUGUCUAACCUCUUUAAAAUCACCGGAAUCAGCUAUCACUAUGACACAUUUAUAACAGCCAGAGCCAUCUUUUGAAAACUGACCGAACUAAUUUAUACUCCCAAUAUUUACAAUAAUAUUUUCUAUUUCUGCCUUUCUAAACAUCGACAAGUCUGUUAAAUGUAUAACUGUAACAGUUAUCUAAAAGCUUAGUAUCCGUUUUUUUAUUUGGCCCAUUUUUUUGUUUAUUAAUAUAUAUUAUUUUAGAAAUCAAUCUUUUAUAAUAAUUAAGUUUAAAAUCAAAGGUCUUGAUAUUUUCCCAAUCAAAAGAAUGAUUUUGUUGUAAUCUAUGUUCACUAAUAACGGAUACCUUAGAUGUUUCAAGUUUUAUUUUGUUUAUAUGUUCUUUAAUUAUUAUUUCUUUUUGUUUAGCUUACAUACAAGGCAUUACAAUCCUUAAAUUCAGUUUGCAGACAACGUUAAUUGUUACACUUUGUUUCAAUAUUCUUGUUUUUGUGUAUUUUAACAAACCUCAAGCUUAUUUAAGCAUCUAAAACCCAACAUAACUUCAUUUUUAUUUAGGGACGCAGAUAUUUUUUCUGAAAUGUCUUUAAUAUAUAAAAGAUAUUGAAGGCAAUACCAUUAAAUUUAACGCACAACUCAAAGCCGAUAUUCGAAAUAUUACAGUCCUACAAUUGUAGCGGUUCUUGGAUGCUCGAGUAAACAAUAACCAUAUAGACAAGAAACUGAUCUCCAUGUUUAAAUACACACCUCAAUUUUUAAAACAGAAUGACAACAUAAUAAACACGCGUGUGGACAAGAAAAAUGUAGUGGUUGCAAUGGAUGAGGAGGAUUAUUUACAUAAAAUGCAGAGCCUACUAAAGGAUAAAGAUACGUAUUCCUUGGAAAAAAAGAAACCCAGCACUUAAAUUAGAAGAAACCGUAAACAAUCUGGUUAAAACAUGGCAUUCUAAGGGAUAUAUUUCCAAACAGAAAUUGUACUCUUUAUGGAAGAUUGUUUGCUACUAAAAGCUUGUGGACUUCCAAAGGUACAUAAACCUAACACUUCUUUAAGAAUUAUCGUGUUUUUAAUAGGAACAGUUUUUUAUCCAUUGGCAGCUUUACUACAAAACAUAAUAUCGGACAGCAUUUCACGGGCGUUGGGUCAUGUCAAUAAUAGUUUUGAACUCUGUAAAUUGUUAACGAACAAAAGCAUACACGGCUCUGAGGUUUUGUCAUCGCUCGAUGUAACAUCUUUGUUUACCAACGUGCCUUUAAAUCUUGCAAUUGAUGACAUUGUGUCUAGAUGUUAAUUCAUCGUAAAAAAGACCAACAUUCCGACAGAUGAGUUUAUUGCAGCGGUGCAAUUUGUUUUAACAUUAACAUAUUUUAUUUUUAAUAAUAUCUACAAACAAACUUAGGGGAUUUCCAUGGGCUCACCGCUAUCAUUAGUGAUGCAAGAUUUAGAGUCUAAAGUUUUUGAAUAACAUAAAGAUUGAUUUAUCGUUUUACGUACAUUAUGUAGACGAUAUUGCUUUAGCGGCACCUGCUGAAGCAAUAGAAAAUAUUUUAAAUGAAUUUAACGGAUAUCACAAUCGGUUGCAAUACACACUCGAACUUGAAAAGAAGUGUUGAUUUUUAAUUAUCCUUAAUUUUUUAGACACUUUAAUCAGAAUCGUGAACAAUACCUUAUAUAUUAACUGGUUCCAUAAAGAACUUCUCAGGAAGAUAUUUAUUAUACUACUUACACUAACCGAUAUGUUAAAAAAUAAGAACUAUUUACAGUAUGGUGGGUUGGGCAAUUUUACUAUUACAUUCCGAAUACCGUGAGAAAAUUGAGAAUUUUGUAUAAAUAUCUUAAUUGAUAAUGGCUACUUAUUGCAGUUAAUUUUUAAUAAAAUCAACACUAGAAUUAAAAAAUUAAUUAAUAUUAAACUGAAUAACAGAUUUCAUGAUUUUAUCGACGAAUCUAAUACGUUCAAGGAAAGGAAAAAGUUUUUGCUCUUUCUAUAUAUUAAAGACAUGUCGAAAAGAAUAUCUGCGUUUCUAAACAAAAAAUGAAGUUAUGUUAGGGUUUAGAUGCUUAAAUAAGCUUAACAGGUUUGUUAAAGUACAUAAGGACAAGAACAUUAAAACAGAGUGUAACAACGUUGUUUACAAACUGAAUUGUAAGGAUUGUAAUGCCUUGUAUGUAAGCCAAACAAAAAGAAACUUGAACAAGAAUUAAAGAACAUAUAAACAAUAUAAAACUUGAAACAUCUAAGGUAUCCGUUAUUAUUAAACACAGAUUACAACAGAAUCAUUCUUUGGAUUAGGAGAAUGUCAAAAUCCUUGAUUUUAAACUGAAUUAUUAUAAAAAAUUGAUUUCUAAAAUGAUAUAUAUUAUAAUAAUAAACAAAAAAUGGACUAAAUAAAGAAACGGAUAUUGAACUUUUAGACAACUGUUACAGUAUUAUAUUUAACAAAUUUGUCGAUGUUUAGAAAGAUAGAAGUAUUAUUGUAAAUACUUAGCAGAAUAUUCGCUUUAAACAUAGGUCAUGCUUGCUCCGCUGCAUCAAAAGUAAUUAGUCUCCCUUGUCAGGCUGAUCAAUAAAAAUCUCUACGUUGUAUAAGUUAUAAAUGACCAGGGUUGAAUAUGUUGUAUAACAUGAAUGACUCUAACGACGAAUUGUAAAUCUAAUUAUUUACACGGAAAAUUUCUAUUUAUUGAAAACGGUUCUUUAACGCUCAUAAAUAAUGUUUUCUCUCAUGCUGUCUCGAAAGUUGUUUGCGUUUGAAUCUUGUUUUAAAUAAGUACUGCUGUACAUAUUGCGUCGUUAAUGUAAAAAAUUGUUACACAGUGAAGAAGUUUCCGUAAAGUCGAAACGUUUGUGUUGAAUUAUUUAAUUAAAUUAAUACGUUUUAUAUUAAUAUCCAAAUAGGUGACUUCCGUUUCCGGUAACGAGAGUGAUAAACGUGUGCUUGUAAGGUGUGUUUGGUGAGAUUGUGUUUUCUGAGAAGAAGGAGGGCAGGAUUGGAGCGCGAGGGAGUAAGGGGACAGAGGAGUAGCAGGUGGAGUUGGGAGAAUAAGGGAUAGGGCAGGGGUAAGGGAAUAGUGAGACAGGAGUGAUAGUAGGGUUGGGACGGGAUUCGGAGGUUAGACGGGAGAGCAGGUAUAGAGAGCAGAGAGGAAGCAGAAAAGAGGGAGGGUAGCGACAUCGGUCGGUAGAAGUGAGAAGCAUAACAGGAGAGAGUAAAUGCAGUUGCGGGAAAUUUUGAAUUGGAGUAACUCUUGAGUAACCAACAUAUUAACUUAGUAUAUAAUUUUAUUUUUUCACAUUUUUUACAUUUAUAUAAUGAUUUCACAAAUAAGCUAAAAAAUAUUAUUGAACUUAAUUAAAUUGUUUUCUUAGAUUGAAAAGUGUGAUCAUUUCAAGUAUAUAAAGAGUCAUACGUUUUAUUUACAUAAAUAUUACAAAAAAAAAAAUAACC